rnacentral:rRNA from 1 species
UACGAAGGGGGCUAGCGUUGCUCGGAAUCACUGGACGUAAAGCGCACGUAGGCGGACUCUUAAGUCGGUGGUGAAAUCCUGGAGCUCAACUCCAGAACUGCCUUCGAUACUGGAAGACUUGAGUCCGGGAGAGGUGAGUGGAACUGCGAGUGUAGAGGUGAAAUUCGUAGAUAUUCGCAAGAACACCAGUGGCGAAGGCGGCUCACUGGCUCGUAACUGACGCUCAGGCGCGACAGCGUGGGGAUCAAACAGG